rnacentral:rRNA from 1 species
AAUAUUGCACAAUGGGCGAAAGCCUGAUGCAGCAACGCAGCGCGAGUGAUGAAGGCCUUCGGGUCGUAAAGCUUUCUGAUUAGGGAUGAUAAUGACAGUACCUGACAAAUAAGCCAAGGCUAACUACGUGCCAGCAGCCGCGGUAAUAAGUAGGUGGCGAGCGUUUUCUGGAAUUACUGGGCGUAAGGGAUGCGUAGGUCGAUACUGAAGUGGGAUGUGAAAUCCCCGGGCUCAACCCGGAAACUGCAUUCCAAACUGGGUAUCUAGAGUGCAGGAGAGGAAAGCGGAAUUCCUAGUGUAGCGGUGAAAUGCGUAGAUAUUAGGGGGAACACCAGUGGCGAAGGCGGCUUUCUGGACUGUAACUGACACUGAGGCAUGAAAGCGUGGGUAGCAAACAGG